GUUGAUUCUGUUAACAAGGGCUCUUAUAAAAGCAACUCGAAAAAUUACUUUAGCCUGACCUUGUACGAAACAUACUUCUAGGGCACAUCAAUCGGACUACAAGAAUGUGUAAUUUUCACAUGUUUCGAAAAGAAGAAAUGAUUUACAGUUACUAACUGUAAAACAGCAAAAGCAUAACUGCGUAUGUUAAAUAUAAC